GGCAGCUCCAUAGCCCGGAGGAUCUCCUGCCCCACAUCGGAAGCGCUGAGACCCCGAAGUCGUUUCUCCCAGAAGAGCUGGCGGGGUUGGUCUGCGAGGCGUUGUGGGUCGGAACGGACUUUGUUGUCGGGGUGGUUGGUGACUUUGGUGACGGGUUGCUUAAAGAUGGACGCCGUCUGCCGGAUGGGGAGGGCCGUGUUGAGAUCCGGUUUGCCCU
rnacentral:lncRNA from 1 species